UGAACGCUAGCGGCAGGCUUAACACAUGCAAGUCGCGGGGCAGCGGGGUGGAGAGCUUGCUCUUCCUGCCGGCGACCUGGCGCACGGGUGAGUAACACGUAUGCAACCUGCCCCUGCCAGGGGGACAACCUCCCGAAAGGGAGGCUAAUCCCGCGUAUAUCCGCCGGGGGCAUCCCCGGGGGAGGAAAGGCUUCGGCCGGGCAGGGAUGGGCAUGCGGCGCAUUAGGCAGACGGCGGGGUAACGGCCCACCGUGCCGACGAUGCGUAGGGGUUCUGAGAGGAAGGCCCCCCACACUGGUACUGAGACACGGACCAGACUCCUACGGGAGGCAGCAGUGAGGAAUAUUGGUCAAUGGUCGGGAGACUGAACCAGCCAAGCCGCGUGAGGGAUGGAGGUACAGAGUAUCGUAAACCUCUUUUGUCAGGGAACAAAGGGCCCCACGUGUGGGGUUAUGAGGGUACCUGAAGAAAAAGCAUCGGCUAACUCCGUGCCAGCAGCCGCGGUAAUACGGAGGAUGCGAGCGUUAUCCGGAUUUAUUGGGUUUAAAGGGUGCGUAGGCGGCGUCCUAAGUCAGCGGUAAAAGCCCGGGGCUCAACCCCGGCGAGCCGUUGAUACUGGGGUGCUCGAGUUGGAGAGAAGUAUGCGGAAUGCGCGGUGUAGCGGUGAAAUGCAUAGAUAUCGCGCAGAACUCCGAUUUGCGAAGGCAGCAUGCCGGCUCCACACAUGACGCUGAGGCACGAAAGCGUGGGUAUCGAACAGGAUUAGAUACCCUGGUAGUCCACGCAGGUAAACGAUGAAUGCUGGCUGUCCGGAUUUUUUCUCUGGGGGGGCGAAGCGAAAGCGAUAAGCAUCCACCUGGGGAGUACGCCGGCAACGGUGAAACUCAAAGGAAUUGACGGGGGUCCGCACAAGCGGAGGAACAUGUGGUUUAAGUUCGAUGAUACGCGAGGAACCUUACCCGGGCUCAAACGGGAGACGGCGCAGCCAGAGACGGCUGCUUCCCACGGGACGUCUUCCGAGGUGCUGCAUGGUUGUCGUCAGCUCGUGCCGUGAGGUGUCGGCUUAAGUGCCAUAACGAGCGCAACCCCGCGGGCAGUUGCCAGCAGGCAAAGCUGGGGACUCUGCCCGGACUGCCGGCGCAAGCCGCGAGGAAGGCGGGGAUGACGUCAAAUCAGCACGGCCCUUACGUCCGGGGCGACACACGUGUUACAAUGGGGGGUACAGCGGGAAGCCAGGCGGCGACGCCGCGCAGAACCCGAAAGCCCCUCUCAGUUCGGAUCGGAGUCUGCAACCCGACUCCGUGAAGCUGGAUUCGCUAGUAAUCGCGCAUCAGCCGUGGCGCGGUGAAUACGUUCCCGGGCCUUGUACACACCGCCCGUCAAGCCAUGGAAGCCGGGAGUGCCUGAAGUGUGCAACCGCAAGGAGCGCCCUAAGGUAAAACCGGUGACUGGGGCUAAGUCGUAACAAGGUAGCC
rnacentral:rRNA from 1 species